rnacentral:sRNA from 1 species
GCCAGGUGUGGUGGUGCAUACCUGUAACCCCAGCAGCUUGGGAGGCUGAGGCAGGAGGAUUGCAAGUUUAAUACCAGCCUCAGCAAUUUAGUGAGGCCCUAAGCAACUUAGUGAGAACCUGUCUUAA